AUUGAACGCUGGCGGCAGGCCUAACACAUGCAAGUCGAGCGAGCGGCGGACGGGUGAGUAAUGUCUGGGAAACUGCCUGAUGGAGGGGGAUAACUACUGGAAACGGUAUCUAAUACCGCAUACCAUCAGAUGUGCCCAGAUGGGAUUAGCUAGUAGGUGGGUUAACGGUUCACCUAGGCGACGAUCCCUAGCUGGUCUGAGAGGAUGACCAGCCACACUGGAACUAAGACACGGACCAGACUCCGACGGGAGGCUACAGUGGCGAAUAUUGGAAAAUGGGCGCAAGCCUGAUGCAGCCAUGCCGCGUGUGGUAAGAAGGCCUUCGGGUUGUAAAGAACUUUCAGCGGAGAGGCGUUACCCGCAGAAGAGGCACCGGCUAACUCCGUGCCAGCAGCCGCGGUAAUUC
rnacentral:rRNA from 1 species